CUCAGACAUGGCUGGCGUCUGUGGUCUCGGAGGGAGCUAUGUGGCCCGAUGGGCUGUAGCUCGUAGCCUUGCCCUGUGCCAUCGGGACUGGCGUUGCAACACAGCAAUGCCUGCGGGGAGCGUUCCCUCCAUGGAUGUGGUUAGACAAGACAGUUUCUUCAGGCAAGGAGCUUCUGGAAGAUACUUUGCUAGUUCUUGUUCUCAUUUGCAAGAAUUUAUCACUUGGUUUAAUUAUAUAUCACCAAGUCAGAUCCUCUGUAGUCCAGAGUGUUUUUGACCUGAAGCCCUCUUACUGAGUGGUAGAUUGGUAGAGUUGGUUGGUAGCAGUCAUCAAAGAGAUUGUCUCUGCUAACCUUCUUUGUGCCGGGCUGAAAAUGGCUACCACUCUUUGCCAGUGUCUACAGAGUUGUUCUGAAAGAUAUGAAGUUGCCCUCCAGAGAAAACAGAACCAUACAUUCAAAAGGAUGGCUCCUUGUUUCCAGUAAUACAAAGUCAUUUCUGAUUUGAGUGAGAAGAUGGAAACUGGAAGAAAGAAAAGUUGAUGCUGCUCCUGCCAGCUGUUGGAGUGGUGCUGCAACACCCCAACCAGGACUGACUGCUGGGAGAACAACAGAACAGUUACCAUGACACUGAGAGAACACCGAACUGCAUUUUGAAACAGGCUUCCUGGUCCAGCAGUACUGAAUAUAGGCUGAUACCUCAGACAAGGUUCUUCAAGGGUUAUGGCAACAGUGAUUGUCCCUUCUAGGAUGCCUGUGAAGUCUUUGCUGCUGGUGGUUGUAACUGUUCUCUCCAAAUGCACAGCCUGUCAGCUUCCCACGACCUGCUCAGAACUAGAGUGUGAAAAUCAGGACACCAGCUGCAUAUUCCUACUGGACCUUGGCUCUUCUCCGGCAAGCAUCACGCAGAGCUGCUAUUUUACCCAGUCAGCUUACACACGUGUAGAGGAGCCACUGACUUUGAUCACGGAGCAGUUUGCAGGCCAUCUGGGACACUUCUGGGCUGGAUCUGGU